GUAGCAGGCACCGCAAGGUCCCUGUCAUUCGGACAGGCUGUCUUACGCGGCUCGCCCGUCGGGCCGCAAACCGGCGAAGCCGGCUUCAACAAAACCUGCCGGACACUGAUCCGG
rnacentral:ncRNA from 1 species